rnacentral:rRNA from 2 species
CCUUACUACACGGAUAUCUGUGGUAAUUCUAGAGUUAAUACGUGCUAAAAACCCCGACUUCGGGAGGGGUGUAUUUAUUAGACUAAAAACCAACGCCCUCCGGGGCUCCUUGGUGAUUCAUAAUAACUCAACGAAUCGCAUGGCCUUGAGCCGGCGAUGGUUCAUUCAAAUUUCUGCCCUAUCAACUUUCGAUGCUAGGGUAGUGGCCUANCAUGGUGACAACGGGUAACGGGGGAUUAGGGUACUAUUCCGGAGAGGGAGCCCGAGAAACGGCUACCACAUCCAAGGAAGGCAGCAGGCGCGCAAAUUACCCAAUCCCGACACGGGGAGGUAGUGACAAUAAAUACUGAUACAGGGCUCUUUUGGGUCUUGUAAUUGGAAUGAGUACGAUUUANACACCCUAACGAGGAACAAUUGGAGGGCAAGUCUGGUGCCAGCAG